GGCGGACGGGUGAGUAAUGCUUAGGAAUCUGCCUAUUAGUGGGGGACAACGUUCCGAAAGGGACGCUAAUACCGCAUACGUCCUACGGGAGAAAGCAGGGGAUCUUCGGACCUUGCGCUAAUAGAUGAGCCGAAGUCGGAAUAGCUAGUUGGUGGGGUAAAGGCCUACCAAGGCGACGAUCUGUAGCGGGUCUGAGAGGAUGAUCCGCCACACUGGGACUGAGACACGGCCCAGACUCCUACGGGAGGCAGCAGUGGGGAAUAUUGGACAAUGGGGGCAACCCUGAUCCAGCCAUGCCGCGUGUGUGAAGAAGGCCUUUUGGUUGUAAAGCACUUUAAGCGAGGAGGAGGCUUACCUGGUUAAUACCUGGGAUAAGUGGACGUUACUCGCAGAAUAAGCACCGGCUAACUCUGUGCCAGCAGCCGCGGUAAUACAGAGGGUGCAAGCGUUAAUCGGAUUUACUGGGCGUAAAGCGCGCGUAGGUGGCUAAUUAAGUCAAAUGUGAAAUCCCCGAGCUUAACUUGGGAAUUGCAUUCGAUACUGGUUAGCUAGAGUAUGGGAGAGGAUGGUAGAAUUCCAGGUGUAGCGGUGAAAUGCGUAGAGAUCUGGAGGAAUACCGAUGGCGAAGGCAGCCAUCUGGCCUAAUACUGACACUGAGGUGCGAAAGCAUGGGGAGCAAACAGGAUUAGAUACCCUGGUAGUCCAUGCCGUAAACGAUGUCUACUAGCCGUUGGGGCCCUUGAGGCUUUAGUGGCGCAGCUAACGCGAUAAGUAGACCGCCUGGGGAGUACGGUCGCAAGACUAAAACUCAAAUGAAUUGACGGGGGCCCGCACAAGCGGUGGAGCAUGUGGUUUAAUUCGAUGCAACGCGAAGAACCUUACCUGGCCUUGACAUACAGAGAACUUUCCAGAGAUGGAUUGGUGCCUUCGGGAACUCUGAUACAGGUGCUGCAUGGCUGUCGUCAGCUCGUGUCGUGAGAUGUUGGGUUAAGUCCCGCAACGAGCGCAACCCUUUUCCUUAUUUGCCAGCACUUCGGGUGGGAACUUUAAGGAUACUGCCAGUGACAAACUGGAGGAAGGCGGGGACGACGUCAAGUCAUCAUGGCCCUUACGGCCAGGGCUACACACGUGCUACAAUGGUCGGUACAAAGGGUUGCUACUGCGCGAGCAGAUGCUAAUCUCAAAAAGCCGAUCGUAGUCCGGAUCGCAGUCUGCAACUCGACUGCGUGAAGUCGGAAUCGCUAGUAAUCG
rnacentral:rRNA from 1 species